AGAACCUAGGCAAUCCCUGAACUACUAAACCUAGGUUAGGGUUUCCAAACUCCGAUCUCUACUCUGUUUUACAAUCAUACCAUGGUGAUUGUGAUUUCUCCUGGAAAUCUCUGUUCAAAUUUUUCCAAAUCAAUCUCUUCUUUUGUUCUCACUCUCUGUUUCCUUCUUUCCUGAAAAAUUUCCAGCCUUUCUCUAUCAAUUCUGCAAUUUAUCGGCGUUUUCCGUUUAUUAGUGAUGUGAAGGUUUCGUUGUCCGUCUCUUGAUCGACAAUUUGUGUAAAUGUAUAUGCAUAUUUGUAUAUAAUUCAUACUUUUAAUUAGGGCUUUUUGUUGUGAAAUUUGGGUGGCUUCGUGAUUUGGUUUUGUUGUUUGAGUUUUGAGGAUAUUAUGAUUAUUGAGGAAUUGAAGGACGGUGAGGUGGAGAGAGGGGCAAAGGAGAAAUCGUGCGUGGAAAUUGCUAAUAACAGCAAUAGCGAAUUAGUUGUUUCGUGGGAUGCGAAGAGGGUUUUCGUUGGAGCAGGGGCACGGGCUUUGUUUUACCCAACUUUGCUUUAUAACGUUGUUAGGAACAAGUUUCAGGCUGAGUUUCGCUGGUGGGAUAGGAUCGACGAGUUCAUAUUGCUAGGCGCUGUUCCAUUCCCUACAGAUGUU
rnacentral:misc_RNA from 1 species